rnacentral:lncRNA from 1 species
GUGUACAACUGGAAAAUGGUUUUCAAAAACCAUUUACAGUAAACAAACAAACACACAUACCCCUCUUUUUUCUGCCAUAAUCACCACCACCACAAAGUUGCCACUACCACCACCACUAACCACCAUCCACCACCACCACACCACCACAACACCCGCCACACAACCACCACAGCACCGUCCUUCGCAUUCAACCCUGUAACCACGUAUAUCAUUUCAUCUCUCUCUCUCUCUCUCUCUCUCUCUCUCUCUCUAAACCCUAAACUCUUCAUCAUCCAAGAUCAUCACAACCAUCGGCUCGGACUCACAUAUAACACCGUAAAACCCUAGAUACGUGAGAGCCUGCGGCGUUGGUGGUCCCAGCCAGAUGUAACCGAGCGUCACUACCUUCGAUCAGUGCCAAACACCACCGCAACCUACAUCUAACCGCCACCGCUACCGCACCACCACGUUAAUGCCACCGGCCUGUUUAUCUCUACAAACUUUCUCCCUACAAACCACGGACCACCUUAAUACCUCCACCCUUUAGCCACCGCUACCCCUUGUAGCCAGUGGUGGUGUAACAUUUGUGAUGGUGGUUGAAAGAGAGACAUGUUGGAUGAAGUGGUGUGGUGACCAAUGAAAAGAAAGAAUGGUGAAAUGCAGACCAAUGAAAAGAAAGAAAAAAUUGAACAGUAAUUUUAGAGGAGGAAUGAAAGUUGUAAAAUUAUAGAGGGGAAAAUUAAUUGUUUGUAAAUUUAACUCAUUUUGUGCUGGAAAAGAAAUAAAUGAGAUGAUAGAAAGUU